CCCUGGCAACGCAAUUAAAAUGGCCGCCUGCUCAUCAUGAGGAAUUCUGAAAUCCUCUGACAGAGAAGAUUCAGAGGAGAAAUAAAUCUAAUGGACAAAACGGAAAGCUCAUCUAAAGGAGAUUUUGUGGCUAACGUUUCUCACUAUAUUCCACUCCCAGACAGCUAUAAAGGUCCAAUUAAUAACGGUCACUUGCUCUUUGAUGCUUGUUUUGAAGGAGGUAACUUGGGACGUGUGGAUUGUGUGAGCCAUUUUGAGUAUGACCUUUUUGUAAGACCAGAUACCUGUAAUCCAAGGUUUCGAGUGUGAUUUAACUUGUGGUGAGCUUCAGUAAGACAAAGAGCCUUUACAGAGAAGGAAUAUCACCUUAAAAGGAACGUCAAUUUUAAAAACAUCCAGUAUUUGUACUGCUAGAAUGGAGCUCACUUAGGCUCGCCCGAAUUAUUCUUCAAAUUAAGUUUUAUUGGAGUCAUACAGUACGUAUAUAUAAAUGAAUCAAACAAGAUCAAUUAAAAUUAUUACUAAUCAUCAAUAUUAAUAAAAUCAAAUCCCAAUUCUUUUCUAAUAGCUUUAACUAAGGCUUUU